AGAGAGUGCUUUGAAGAAAAUGCC
rnacentral:miRNA from 1 species